rnacentral:rRNA from 1 species
AUCUCUUCGGAGUGACGUUUGUGGAACGAGCGGCGGACGGGUGAGUAACACGUGGGCAACCUACCUGUAAGACUGGGAUAACUCCGGGAAACCGGGGCUAAUACCGGAUAAUACUUUCCUUCGCAUGAAGGAAAGUUGAAAGAUGGCUUCUAGCUAUCACUUACAGAUGGGCCCGCGGCGCAUUAGCUAGUUGGUGAGGUAAGAGCUCACCAAGGCAACGAUGCGUAGCCGACCUGAGAGGGUGAUCGGCCACACUGGGACUGAGACACGGCCCAGACUCCUACGGGAGGCAGCAGUAGGGAAUCUUCCGCAAUGGACGAAAGUCUGACGGAGCAACGCCGCGUGAACGAAGAAGGUUUUCGGAUCGUAAAGUUCUGUUGUUAGGGAAGAACAAGUACCGUUCAAACAGGGCGGUACCUUGACGGUACCUAUCGAGGAAGCCCCGGCUAACUACGUGCCAGCAGCCGCGGUAAUACGUAGGGGGCAAGCGUUGUCCGGAAUUAUUGGGCGUAAAGCGCGCGUAGGCGGUUUCUUAAGUCUGAUGUGAAAUCUUGCGGCUCAACCGCAAGCGGUCAUUGGAAACUGGGGAACUUGAGUACAGAAGAGGAGAGCGGAAUUCCACGUGUAGCGG